AGGGCUGUAGCUCAGUGGUAGAGUGCUUGCCUAGCAUGCAUGAGGCACUGGGUUCAAUCCUCAGCACCACAU
rnacentral:tRNA from 1 species